UUACGGCCAUAUCACGUUGAAAUACCAGUUCCUGUGCGAAAACCGAAGUUAAGCAGCGUCGAACCUGGUCAGUACCUAGAUGAGUGACCUCUUGGGAAUAACAGAU